GUCGCAAUGGUGUAGUGGUUAUCACGCCUGCUUUACACGCAGUUGGUCCUCGGUUCGAUCCCGAGUUGUGACA